rnacentral:lncRNA from 1 species
AUUGGUGUGUGUGACAUCAAGACAAGCAUGUAGGUGCUCAAUAAUGAAUGAGUCCACUGAACACGAUCAAUGAGGUGUUCUCAUACUCAUGUCACAUGAGAACUCAUGGUUGGGAUAAUGCAAAGUAGUCCUUUGACCUAAGGCAUCAUAGUUGUCUUGUGGUUAAGUCCUUGAUCUUUGAUUAUGUCAAAGUCACUCCAUCAGGCGGGUGUCCACGGCAUCGUCGGGGUUAAGCCACUUAGCCAUGGAGGCAAGUGAAUGCGCAACAAGGGAUCUCUAACCUUCAAACCGUUUGGGGGAGAAUACUCUAUGAUAUGAUUAAGAAUCUCUGGCCAGAGUAUGAAUGAGAUUUAGGAAGUCGUUCCAAAUCACAUUCAAGGUAAUCAUAUAAGCACACGGAUCACAUUGGAUAGUAGACAUGAAUAAACUAUCAAACCAAACAAUGUGGUCAAGAGUAUUGUAUUAGAGAAAGACCGUAUUGCAUUUGUAAUCCUAAACUGAAUAGGUUCUCCACCUCUUCUGAUUAGCUUGGGUAACCAUGAUAUGCUGCUAGGUGUCACUCAUGGUUUGUGGAAGCCCUAAACGUGUAUAAUUACUAAAGGGAGAAUUGAAAGUAAGUUUCAAUUCACAAUCGAUUUGAAAGAGUUUUAAUCGCCCACUGCCUCGCUAAAAGGAACCUAAUGGAUCGUACACCGUGUAAGGCAUAGAUUGAAGAAACAAUGGAGAUGAGUAAGAAUAAUUAAAUGGUUUAAUUAUUUAUGGCAAGGAUUAAUUAAUAUGUUAAUUAAUCAAACGAAUCAAGUUUGUUAAAAGACCACGGGUUAGUUUUGGGGCUCAAGGCCCAAUGGGCUUCGAACGUCAAGCCCAUUGACUUAAGUUGUAUGACA